UGCUGUGUCGUUGCCCUAUAGGCUAGG
rnacentral:piRNA from 1 species